rnacentral:rRNA from 1 species
AUUGAACGCUGGCGGCAGGCCUAACACAUGCACGUCGAACGAGUGGCGGACGGGUGAGUAAUGUCUGGGAAACUGCCCGAUGGAGGGGGAUAACUACUGGAAACGGUAGCUAAUACCGCAUACCAUCGGAUGUGCCCAGAUGGGAUUAGCUAGUAGGUGGGGGAACGGCUCACCUAGGCGACGAUCCCUAGCUGGUCUGAGAGGAUGACCAGCCACAGUGGAACUGAGACACGGGCCAGACUCCUACGGUAGUCAGCAGUGGUGAAUAUUGCACAAUGGGCGCAAGCCUGAUGCAGCCAGGCCGCGUGUAUGAAGAAGGCCUUCGGGUUGUAAAGUACUUUAAGCGAGGAGGCGUUACUCGCAGAAGAAGCACCGGCUAACUCCGUGCCAGCAGCCGCGGUAAUAC